GGGACUAUAGCUCAGCGGGAGAGCACCUCGUUGACAUCGAGGGGGUCACAAGUUCAAUCCUUGUUAGUCCCACCA
rnacentral:tRNA from 1 species